AGAAUUAAUAAUAUUUGUGAAAUUUCAACAAACAACAAUAAUCAUACAAUCAAUAAUUAAAAAUUA
rnacentral:misc_RNA from 1 species